UAGGGAAUCUUCCACAAUGGACGCAAGUCUGAUGGAGCAACGCCGCGUGAGUGAAGAAGGUUUUCGGACCGUAAAGCUCUGUUGUUGGUGAAGAAGGAUAGAGGUAGUAACUGGCCUUUAUUUGACGGUAAUCAACCAGAAAGUCACGGCUAACUACGUGCCAGCAGCCGCGGUAAUACGUAGGUGGCAAGCGUUGUCCGGAUUUAUUGGGCGUAAAAGCGAGCGCAGGCGGAAGAAUAAGUCUGAUGUGAAAGCCCUCGGCUUAACCGAGGAAUUGCAUCGGAAACUGUUUUCUUGAGUGCAGAAGAGGAGAGUAGAACUCCAUGUGUAGCGGUGGAAUGCGUAGAUAUAUGGAAGAAUACCAGUGGCGAAGGCGGCCCUCUGGUCUGCAACUGACGCUGAGGCUCGAAAAGCAUGGGUAGCGAACAGGAUUAGAUACCCUGGUAGUCCAUGCCGUAAACGAUGAGUGCUAAGUGUUGGGAGGCUUCCGCCUCUCAGUGCUGCAGCUAACGCAUUAAGCACUCCGCCUGGGGGAGUACGACCGCAAGGUUG
rnacentral:rRNA from 1 species